GUGAAAGGGUGCGGUAAGAGCGCACCGCGGGCCCGGCGACGGGACCGGCAUGGUAAACCCCACCGGGAGCAAGACCGAAUAGGGGCGGCCGAUCGCGUCACGGGUUCGCUCGUGAUGGCGGUGAACGCGUUCCCGCGUUGUCGCCCGGGUAGGUCGCGCGAGGCGGUCGGCAACGACCGUCCCAGAGGAAUGGCCGUCUCCCGGCGGCCGGUCCACGUCUCGGCGUGGACAUCGCGCCGGGAACAGAACCCGGCUUACAGACCGUCUGAGCCU
rnacentral:RNase_P_RNA from 1 species